rnacentral:rRNA from 1 species
GUCUACAGCCAUGCCACCCUGAACAAGCCUGAUGUCUGAUCUCGAAAGCUAAGCAGAGUCAGGCCUGUUUAGUAUUUGGAUGGGAGAUCACCUAGGAAGACGAGGUGCUAUAGGCA